AGUUGAGGACUCUCGUGUGGUAGUAGUGCCUUUGCUUUUUGCGUUAUGCAGAGCUCACUGACUUGUCAGUUACUGUUUGAGCACUCUGCGCUGAUGUGUCCACAAAGGACACAACAGAAAUGCCAUUUAGACUGUCAUGUACGGGUAUUUGUUUGAAGUACAUGUACGUCCUCCUCUGGCAAACAAAGCUUGGUGUGUUUCAUGACAGCUUAUCGGGAUACAUGCAGGAAUCCACACGUUCAUCAGUGAAGAGUGGUACGAUUCACUCACUCCACGGCCCACGCAUUCAACAAGUAGGGUCUAUCCCCCAUAAUUUAAAGCCCAGGCCUGCACUUAUAAAGCCAGUGGCAGAGUGCUGAACUCUCAGUAUUUCGCUUUUCAAUGCGCAAGGAGAGCCAUAAUUCUAUAAUUAUUAUUGUCAGUGUUCAUUCGCAAUUCGUGGAAACACUGGCACUUUGGCACUUAGCAACUACUAGCAGGCUAUCUUUUGUGCAGUUUGGAAGCAUUUCCUUGAAACCCGGCAGCAUUGCAAGGAAGUAGCACCGAAUACCGGCUGUGAUGUGCUACAGUGUACAUUAUCCAUAAUCGUGUGCCAGUGUCGUGCGCGGCUUCACAACCUUUCAGUAUCAUUCCGGCGACGCGUGUCGAGCGGCUUGCAAUGAUGGCUGUGGAGCGUGGAAACCGUCGGCGAUCCUACUUUUCGGCGUACGAGCAGGACGACCUCUGGUCCGUGGCGGCCUGUGCGUCCAAUGCGGCUCAAGUUCCAGAAAGAGAUGAGGUCAUUGGGACGUGUGUGGAGUCAGCCAAUGGCGUUGGCAAUGAGGGCGUUGCAGUUUCAAGGGCCAGGGGUCUGGAUUCCCUACAGAGAGUUGGAAACGCUGAACUGAGCCAGCACAAUCCAUACCACAUCAUGCCCUGCCGCCUCGACUCCGUAGAUACUGACCAAGAAGGCCGCAGCCCCGUGGAAACCGCCCCAGUCAACACAAGCGUGAACGUCAUACGGGCUACACCACGAGGUGAACGAGCAGCUCAGGAGGCCGCAGAUGGCAGCAAGAUAGCUCGUACGUUGAGGCGCAUUUCCCAACCCUCGACUCACCGUCGCCGGAGACGAAGUCGAGUGCAUUCGCACAUUUCAGAUCGUGGAUAUGAUACAAGCCGACGAAGAGGGAACCGGCUAGGAAAUCUACUAGGCCGUCUUAUACCAUGCAAGCCCUGCGCCGUAUAGGAUUUCUAUAUUUACAAAAAAUACUUCUGAAGAAUACCGAACAACACUGACUUGAUGUUACAUGAAGCUUGACAGGACUGAUUUCUCACCCUUGAAUGAUGCUGGCGUGGUGAAUACAUGUACUUCAAUUAAUUGACCUCUAUACCACGCUAAUGUACAAGGAGUCCUACAUGUACGUCGGCUUUUAAAAUGGGACUCAUCUAUGCCCAACGUAACCUCCCAUACUGUGUGUGCAUGUAUCCAACUUGAACUUUGACUUGUCUAUUUUAAAAUCUUUUAUGAUACCGCCAUAAUACCGCCAUAAUACCGCCAUAAUACCGGUAUUCAUGACUUUGAGGGAACGGUUGCAAAGGUUCAACCUUUUUAUGAGAACUAUGUUUUAUUUACUUUGAAGUGCGCUGCAUUUGAUAUAGCCUGAGAUGUAGCCUCAUGCUUACAUAAAAUUUG